rnacentral:rRNA from 1 species
CUACGGAGGGUGCAAGCGUUGUUCGGAAUCACUGGGCGUAAAGGGCGCGCAGGCGGUUUGGUAAGUCAGAUGUGAAAGCCACGGCUCAACCGUGGAAGUGCAUUUGAAACUGCCAGACUUGAGUACCAUAGGGGAAAGUGGAAUUCCCGGUGUAGAGGUGAAAUUCGUAGAUAUCGGGAGGAAUACCGGUGGCGAAGGCGACUUUCUGGCUGGAUACUGACGCUGAGGCGCGAAAGCGUGGGGAGCAAACAGGAUUAGAUACCCCAGUAGUCC